GACGAACGCUGGCGGCGUGCCUAAUACAUGCAAGUCGAGCGAAGUUUUUCUGGUGCUUGCACUAGAAAAACUUAGCGGCGAACGGGUGAGUAACACGUAAAGAACCUGCCUCAUAGACUGGGACAACUAUUGGAAACGAUAGCUAAUACCGGAUAACAGCAUUAACUGCAUGGUUGAUGUUUAAAAGUUGGUUUUGCUAACACUAUGAGAUGGCUUUGCGGUGCAUUAGCUAGUUGGUGGGGUAAAGGCCUACCAAGGCGACGAUGCAUAGCCGACCUGAGAGGGUGAUCGGCCACACUGGGACUGAGACACGGCCCAGACUCCUACGGGAGGCAGCAGUAGGGAAUCUUCCGCAAUGGGCGAAAGCCUGACGGAGCAACGCCGCGUGAGUGAAGAAGGAUUUCGGUUCGUAAAGCUCUGUUGUUAGGGAAGAAUGAUUUGUGUCGC
rnacentral:rRNA from 1 species